rnacentral:misc_RNA from 1 species
CUUUUGUAGAUCUUACCCAUCAAAGCAUACACGCUGCUUUCUCGAGGGGCAUACUCUUUCAGCUCCUCAAGAACUUGUAAAGCUUCAUCGAAACGUUCCAGGCUUACGAGUAUGUUAGCUUUCUGAUACAUGGGAAGUGGGUUCUUCUUAUCUGCAAGGAUGGCCUUCUCCAUCAUCAUCAUGGCAUCCUCACUUACCGUCUUUUGUAGAUCUUACCCAUCAAAGCAUACACGCUGCUUUCUCGAGGGGCAUACUCUUUCAGCUCCUCAAGAACUUGUAAAGCUUCAUCGAAACGUUCCAGGCUUACGAGUAUGUUAGCUUUCUGAUACAUGGGAAGUGGGUUCUUCUUAUCUGCAAGGAUGGCCUUCUCCAUCAUCAUCAUGGCAUCCUCACUUACCGU